rnacentral:rRNA from 1 species
UACGGAGGGUGCGAGCGUUGUCCGGAAUCACUGGGCGUAAAGGGCGCGUAGGCGGCCUGGCAAGUCGAUGGUGAAAGCCCGAGGCUCAACUUCGGGUCGGCCACUGAUACUGCUGGGCUUGAGUCGACUAGAGGCAGAUGGAAUUCCGGGUGUAGAGGUGAAAUUCGUAGAUAUUCGGAAGAACACCAGUGGCGAAGGCGGCUCACUGGACCGGUAUUGACGCUGAGGUGCGAAAGCGUGGGGAGCAAACAGG